rnacentral:rRNA from 1 species
CUCAAAUUUUAUACCACUCUGAAUGUACCCCAUCUUGUCUGAUCUCAGAAGCUAAGCAGAGUUGGGUCUGGUUAGUACUUAGAUAGGAGAUUCGAUUUUUUUCCCU